AAAACUUUAACAUUGGAACAAAUCUUUGUGCUUUUUUUUUUUUAGGAAAUGAAGAUAAUAAAAACAACUAUGUGAUAAACACUAUUUUGUUCUGUAGUUGUUUUUCACCACCAGAUAAUAAUCAAGAUAACAGACGUAACCAUAAUGAUAAUAGAAAUGAACGUCCGCAGUCAGAUACCAAUGGAGAUAAUGGUGUGUCUGGACAAAAUGAAGAAAGAAUUGCUUUGCGUGAUAUUAAUUCGUCUAAUGAACAGAAUACUAAUCAACAGAAUGCUGAUGUAGCUGAUGGCAUCCCGAAUGCUGAAGCGCAGCCCCUACUGAACCAGGGCAGGAACGAUUCUGCCUCUGGAAGCAAUGUACAACAUGGUGCUUCAGUUGUGAAAUUAGGCCCACUACCUCAACAGAAUACUGAUGUAGCUGAUGCCAUUCCGAAUGCUGAAGCGCAGC